rnacentral:lncRNA from 1 species
AAAAGGGAAAGAGUUUUACCUUCGUGUGGUCUGUCACGCCGUGAGAAGACCGAGGAAGCCACUCCUGAGGGUCGGUGGCCGAAAACUGAAGGGUUUCUUGAUUUUCUUAGUAUUUUCGGUUCGAUUUUGGGGAUUUGGAACCCGGAUUUUGAACCCAGAUUUGCGUUUAGAAGGUCGCAAGGACAAGAUUAGGGAUUUUCCCUCUUUUUCGGCUGCCGAAGACGGCGGUGUCGGUGCCGGAGAUCGGUGGUCGGCGCAGUGGCCGAUGACCGGCCGAUGGACGAAUUGGAUGCCGGACGAUUGGGGAGGGGAGAGUUUUUUUGAAAUGUUUUCUUUUGUUUUUUAAAGAAUGAAAAAUGAAAUAUUUGAAUUAUUUUUGGCUUAAAUAGCCUUUUGGAAAUGACGUCAUUUCAUUAGGCCUCCCCAGGUGCUAAAACGACGUCGUUUUGGGGAGGCCAACCCGAAUUCGACCCGACCCAGCCUAGGAUCAACGUGUUUUUAUGUAGAGGGGUAAAUUACGCUUUUAGCCCCUCUGCCUUUUAAGGUUUUUGCAAUUAAGUUUUUAUUUUUUUAAAUUUACCCCUUUAAUUUAUUUUCGAUUUCAAUUAGGUCCAAUUUGAACGGUGCCGUUUUGGAGGAGAAGGGAUAAUUUCCUUUCCAGCCCCUCUAUGUUAUUCGCGUGUUCAAUAUGGUCCAUUUUACCUCCAAUUAUUUGCGGAUUUUCCCCAGACUCCUAUUUCCAAUUCAAAUUAGUCCUUUUUGUUAUUUUUUAG